rnacentral:rRNA from 1 species
AUGACGAUAAUCAGCUGGAACUGUCGGGGCCUCGGACAGGCCCCGACAGUUCAGGAGCUUGUAUGCCUAGUGCAUACCUAUCGUCCGUCUUUGGUAUUCAUCUCUGAAACCAGAAGCAGCGAGGAUUAUGUCAAUAAGUUGCGUAGCAGGCUAGGUCUUAAGUUCUGCAUAUCCCAUGUUGGGAAAGGAAAGAGUGCAGGUAUUGCUCUAUUCUAUGAUGAGCAAGUG